rnacentral:lncRNA from 1 species
GUUCACGGGUUCGCAAGAAUUGGACACGAUUUAACACUAUCUAUUUAUUUCUUUCUAUGCAGUUUAUAUAUAAAAAAUGAUGUUUGUCCCUGGAGCUGUAAUUUUCAUUCAUAAGGAUAAACUUUCUAAGAUAAAAUGACUAGAUUAAAAUGUUGUCUCCCUGAAGUAUGUGUAUACAUGGUUUGCAUGUCCCUCUGGAUCCUUCUGGAGAAGGAAAUGGCAACUCACUCCAGUGUUCUUGCCUAGAGAAUCCUGUGGACAGAGGAGCCUGGUGGGCUGCCGUCUAUGGGGUCGCACAGAGUCGGACACGACUGAAGCGACUUAGCAGCAGCAGCAGCAGCGGGAUCCUUCUAAGACUGAACUGCUGA